rnacentral:rRNA from 1 species
UACGAAGGGGGCUAGCGUUGUUCGGAAUCACUGGGCGUAAAGGGCGCGUAGGCGGCUUUGUCAGUCGGGGGUGAAAGCCUGUGGCUCAACCACAGAAUUGCCUUCGAUACUGCAAGGCUUGAGACCGGAAGAGGUUAGUGGAACUGCGAGUGUAGAGGUGAAAUUCGUAGAUAUUCGCAAGAACACCAGUGGCGAAGGCGGCUGACUGGUCCGGUUCUGACGCUGAGGCGCGAAAGCGUGGGGAGCAAACAGG